GACUGUAUAUGUAAAGACUAUCUCCAUACGAAUACAUGGAAUAGUUUUGGUCUUAGGGAAAAAGAGCUAUCAAAACCAAAAAGGAAGUAAAAUUCAUUGAAGACACCUGAAUACAUAGGUAGAACAUUAAAUAGUACUUUCUGUAGUGGUUCUAAAAAAAAUCUUUCAAACUCCACAAUCCUAUCAACAUCCUGUGAGUAUGGCAGUCAACAACUGCUGAUGGGAACCAUGACUAUACAUUUUUAAAUUAGUUAUUAUAACUACAUUUGGUUCUUCUAAAAAUACUGUGUAACUUG